ensembl:lncRNA
ACAACCAAAAAUGUCUGAUCAAUGAAUAAACCAAUGAGUAUUAAAUGAUUAUUAUAAAAGAUUAUAUGAUAAAGAGUAAUAAUAAAAUGAUUAAAGGAUAAUAAAUGAUGAAUGAAUGUUAAAAAAUGCAACACACAGGUUGCUAUGAAGAAUCCUUAGAUCCUUCACCUUUAGGAGUAAAAAGACCAUUUUCAUUUGGCACAACUCAAACCAGCUACUGAAAAAUUUAUUCAUAAAAUGAGACACCUGCAUUACAUAUCUAGCCCUGUAAGCAAGCUGUGUUCUUGAGAUUAAGUUUGGUCCCAGAAAGUAUUUAGACACUUAAGUCACACUUAAAAAUCUGAAUUUCAUUGUAUUAGAUACUAAAAGGUGCAAUCAAUAGAAUGCUACGAUCUUUCUUAACACUAACUUAACUUUUUUAGAGACACUGAUUCAAUCAGUGGUCUCAAGUUCCCUUCUGACGCAGAACCACCAUCGAUGUAGUUGAUUAUAUUAACAUACACAAAGUUUGACAUCCAUAGAUUUUUCUUUUUUACUUUGAACACUACCUACUGAUUGUUUAAUUAUAUCUCGAAAACCGAACAAACCUCAUUUUGUGAAAUGUUUUGGUUGAAAAGUGUACUUGUGCUGUAAAAUAAGGCAGCAGCUAUUUGCACGAUAGAUGCUAUAUUUACGCUAAGUGCAAAGUCGGGUUGAAACAACCCAGCAUUUUUUAGAGUGUAACUUCUAUUUACACUAUGUAAAAAUAGCAGUAUUUUCUGCUAUUUAUACUACUUAUAUGUGCACCUCAGUAUUGUAGUACAUUACAAAACAGUAUGCAGUAAUAACAUAUUGACUGUAAAUUAUCAUUUUAAUUCAAAUUAUUAAAUGGAUCCUGACUUAUUGGGACAAUAAAGCAGCUCCCUACACCUACCCUAACCCUACCCGAUACUUCAUUUUCAACUUUUUGAUUAUUUUCCUUAAUUUUUAUUGAAAAUGCCUUUCCGAUGUAACAUAAGAUGUGAAAAAGUGUCAAGAAUGAGUUCGGCAAAAGGUGGAUUCGAACUCGGGUCGAUUGCAUCAAAAAGUCUGCACUAUGCAUUUUACCACUUACGCCACUGAUGCUGUUAUUUGACAGCCGUCUUUUGUAGUGUUGACUAUCCCAAGCAUACGUUAAUGGGCGGAGUUAGUGUUAAUAGCUUCUGCCAACAAGGCGAGAUAUUUGCACUUAGUGUAAAUAGACACUCUGAUAAAAUAAAAGGCACUUGUUUUGAUAUUAUUAGUUGUGUUUAAAGAGUGCAAAUAUUUUUGGGGCCACUGUAGAUCUCCUGGUGAAUUUAAAUUACUCAUCCUGUUUUUGUAACAUCACAGAGAGACACUGAAUUAGUAUAAAGCACAAAUCCAGCAUAGAUAGGUUCAGUGAAUGUGGUGUUGAAUGUGUAUAAGUGUCUGAGAGUGUUUGUGUCAGAGAUGCUGUAGAAGGACAGAAUGCCGGCCGGCUCGUCCACAUACACUCCUACUUUGUUUAAGGGAGGUGCUGGGGGAGGAAUGUGUGUUCCCCUAUUAUCAUGCCAGGCAAUCAGUUUCUCCCCGAAGCAGCUCAGAAUCCAGGAUUUUUUAUUGGCUCCAAACCUGCUUUCAAAACCUUCUCCUUUCCUGCCGAUUCCUUCAUAUGACACGACCAUAUCACCCAACCCGCUCCAUUCAGCCUCCCAGUAACAGCGUCCAGACAGACGCUCUUUACACAGAACCUGCGGAAGGCCGUCAAAUCUCUCUGGAUUAUCAGGAUAUAUCAUUGGAUCUGGAUUACGCACCAACUUUUUGUUGCCGUCUGCAACAGACAGGAGAUUGUGUGCCGUGUUUGGAUCCAGUGUGAGAUCACAGAAAUCUGCACAAAAGAAAAGAGAACACAAUUAAGACCUCAAAAUAUGUUCAAGAAUCAAAUUGGUCAAAUUGGACUUUUCGGUUCCACAUAAAUAUUCUUGACCACAUGUACACAGUUUUAUACUUGAGAUCUUAUUCUGGUCUUCUGUAAAAUGGUGUCCUGUGAAAAAACGUAUGUGUAGACCUACAUUUCAGGAGCUCUUCUCUACUCAUGUUCUCUCCACUGUGUUCCUGUUAAAUAAAAAGAAAAGCAUAAUGUGUCAUGUUCUAAUUGUUGGACUCACCAAAAAUGUUGAAGAACACCAGACUUUGAGCCAAGCCUUCAAAAAGCAAUUUUCAUAAGUUCUUAAGUGCAGGAGUCAAAAAGGUUUAAGUACUUAAGACAAACAACAGUAGGAGACUCCUCAUGCAAUGAUAUCAG